GUUUUUUCUCCAUUAUUCUUUCUCCCUACCUCCACUCUUAUUUCUUCUUAACUCUUGUGUUUUCAUUUAAAAUCCCAAUCUUACUGCUAGUUUGCUCAUUUAUUGUGGAACGAGGUUGUUUCAACCACAACCAUCAAGAUGACAGAUAUAGAUUCAGCAAUAACAGAGCUAAUCAACAUGGCUUAGAAUCUUAAAUGUAAUGAACCAAUCUUGCAGCUAGAGGAGGAUGAUUCUCAUGGACGACAGAUUCAGAGCAAGAUAUUGGUCGGUAAGUUGAUUACUGGAAAAAGUUAUAGUGCAAACACAGUCAAGACCAUUUUGUCCAAUGUUUGGUAAACUAAAGAGGAUUUCACAAUCACAUCAAAGGGAAGUAAUGUUUAUGCUUUCUCUUUUACUCAUGAUAUAGAUGUUGCGAAUAUUAUGCAGGGUA
rnacentral:misc_RNA from 1 species